rfam:Gossypium hirsutum cultivar TM-1 unplaced genomic scaffold scaffold755.1, whole genome shotgun sequence
UAUUAAAAAUUCCAUCUAUUUUUACUGUGAAAAAAUAGCGUGACUAACGAAAUAACCAUACAGUUAAACGAGACGUGUUACGUAUACCUGAUGUGUAAGGACUUAUUUUUUAACAAUAGAAAUGAAUAAAAUUUUUAACA